AUGAAGGAUCCCAGUGACCCGAGACCCUCUUCCGGAGCCGCCAAGACCCGAGCGCCUUCGUUCAGCGGUCGGCGAUCGUUUGGAAGGACAGUCCUUUGGAAGAACUUAGGUCAUACAUACCCAUCCCUCACCGCCCCCCUCCCCCGACGCCCAGGCCGUCCUCAGCCUCUCCAUUACUCGCUUUGCUUUCCCCGUUUUCCACUCCGGAGCGCAGCUCGGCACGUGCACGCGGGUGUGAGCGCGCCCAGAGGCUGCAGAGACCCGGAGCGUCGCUCGGAUCCGGCCAGAGCGGGUAGGAUCCUCGCUGGCAAGAAAACCAGCGGAGGAGAAGGAACUGUGUUUCGCCCAUUACUUUUAUUAGACGAGAGAGGCUAUAGAGGGCGUUUGUCCCGGGUCCCGUUUCAUAGCCGCCUGCUGACUUCAUCAAAAGGGCUCGUCCAGACCGCGAUUCCGCCGCGCGUGGUCAGGCGCACACUGACGCAGCUGGGUGGGAGAGCCGCGGUUGAACAGAAAUUGCUGGCACUGACCUGGGGAGAAAGGUUUGCAGUGACCGUAAAUGGCAAAGACUGCCCUACAGAACCAGGAACAGCGCCCAAGGUCAGCAGGUGAAGCCAGCCGCCGGAGAGAUGGGCCAAGGAGGCCGGUGGAGUCUCCUCACAGAGGACAGAGGCCCACGUUCGUUCUUGACGGGGACACCUUACCGUGUGACAGAUGCCACGGUGUGACCCCAAACAAGGCCCAGGGUGUACGGAGACCGGGCGCGCUCUCCCUGCUGUGCUCGUUGAAACUGCUACAGAGGAAUCCGGGAGACAUUUGUCCGUAUCUGAAAAAGCAGGAGCUGCCCACCCCGCUGACCCCCAGAUCCCUGCCUCAUUGUCCGCCGCCGCUGAGAAAAUGCCAGGCUGGGGGCACUGAGCCCUGGCACUGCCCUUGCAGCAUUGUCUGCAAAGUGCAGGGCUGGAAGCGUCCUAAAUGGCAGUCAGAGGAGGCCUGGCUGCAGAGCCCAGCCCAGGGCACAUCCCCUGGAACAGAGUGUUCCCCAGGGAUGACGGGAACCACCCCAGACUCUGCUUGCACCCGCUGGAGCCAGUCCUGGGGUAUAAGGUUGAGCUGGGGAAAAUAAUAAUACUUUCAGAAAAGGAUACCGACAGCUUGCGGCUCCUGCCACAAUUGACAAAAAGAAAAACAAACCAGCAAUAUACCUGCUGUUUACAGGUGGGGGUGGCAGCGUCGCUAUGGGGCCUCUCCCCUAGGCUGCAGGCCCACUGUGUGCUUGAAGAGAGGCUGGGGGCCCACACUGGCAGGCAUGCUUUGUUUCUGAAAAAUCUAUAUGCUGCAAAUGUCACCAGAGAUUGUUAACUUGAAAUGAUGGUUACGUGGAUUCUAUCACUCUACAUUCCUAGCAUGUGAAAUAUUUAACACUUUGAAAAUUAAAACAAGAAUGUGUGUUACCCUUUAAAAGAAGUGUCAUAGUGCAGAAAUAUAGGGAGCUAAUGGAGGAGUGCUUUCUUAAAAAAAAAAAAGUUUCUUAAAAAUGUACGUGUCUGUCUCUUUCUUCCUGGCUUCACCUCGCCCCACCCUCGCCCAUCCCAUCCUUCAGAACAUAAAGAUACAGUCUUAGAUUUGCGGUGUUGACCUCUGA
rnacentral:lncRNA from 1 species